UACGUAGGUGGCAAGCGUUGUCCGGAUUUACUGGGCGUAAAGAGCGCGCAGGCGGCUGGAUAAGUCGAAUGUGAAAGCCCCCGGCUCAACUGGGGAGGGUCACGCGAUACUGAUCGACUCGAAGGCAGGAGAGGGUAGUGGAAUUCCCGGUGUAGUGGUGAAAUGCGUAGAUAUCGGGAGGAACACCAGUGGCGAAGGCGACUACCUGGCCUGUUCUUGACGCUGAGGCGCGAAAGCUAGGGUAGCAAACGGG
rnacentral:rRNA from 1 species